rnacentral:rRNA from 1 species
AUGCAAGUCGAGCGGAGAUGAGGUGCUUGCACCUUAUCUUAGCGGCGGACGGGUGAGUAAUGCUUAGGAAUCUGCCUAUUAGUGGGGGACAACAUUCCGAAAGGAAUGCUAAUACCGCAUACGUCCUACGGGAGAAAGCAGGGGAUCUUCGGACCUUGCGCUAAUAGAUGAGCCUAAGUCGGAUUAGCUAGUUGGUGGGGUAAAGGCCUACCAAGGCGACGAUCUGUAGCGGGUCUGAGAGGAUGAUCCGCCACACUGGGACUGAGACACGGCCCAGACUCCUACGGGAGGCAGCAGUGGGGAAUAUUGGACAAUGGGGGAAACCCUGAUCCAGCCAUGCCGCGUGUGUGAAGAAGGCCUUAUGGUUGUAAAGCACUUUAAGCGAGGAGGAGGCUACUGAGACUAAUACUCUUGGAUAGUGGACGUUACUCGCAGAAUAAGCACCGGCUAACUCUGUGCCAGCAGCCGCGGUAAUACAGAGGGUGCGAGCGUUAAUCGGAUUUACUGGGCGUAAAGCGUGCGUAGGCGGCUUUUUAAGUCGGAUGUGAAAUCCCCGAGCUUAACUUGGGAAUUGCAUUCGAUACUGGGAAGCUAGAGUAUGGGAGAGGAUGGUAGAAUUCCAGGUGUAGCGGUGAAAUGCGUAGAGAUCUGGAGGAAUACCGAUGGCGAAGGCAGCCAUCUGGCCUAAUACUGACGCUGAGGUACGAAAGCAUGGGGAGCAAACAGGAUUAGAUACCCUGGUAGUCCAUGCCGUAAACGAUGUCUACUAGCCGUUGGGGCCUUUGAGGCUUUAGUGGCGCAGCUAACGCGAUAAGUAGACCGCCUGGGGAGUACGGUCGCAAGACUAAAACUCAAAUGAAUUGACGGGGGCCCGCACAAGCGGUGGAGCAUGUGGUUUAAUUCGAUGCAACGCGAAGAACCUUACCUGGCCUUGACAUACUAGAAACUUUCCAGAGAUGGAUUGGUGCCUUC